rnacentral:rRNA from 1 species
AUGAACGCUAGCGACAGGCUUAACACGAUGCAAGUCGAGGGGUAACAGGGUAGCAAUACCGCUGACGACCGGCGCACGGGUGAGUAACGCGUAUGCAACCUGCCUAUAACUGGGGAAUAGCUCCCUGAAAGGGGAAUUAACACCGCAUAACACUAUUGAUUCGCAUGGAUUAGUAGUUAAAUGUAGCGAUACAGGUUAUAGAUGGGCAUGCGUGACAUUAGCUAGUUGGUGAGGUAACGGCUCACCAAGGCUACGAUGUCUAGGGGUUCUGAGAGGAAGGUCCCCCCACACUGGUACUGAGACACGGACCAGACUCCUACGGGAGGCAGCAGUGAGGAAUAUUGGUCAAUGGGCGCAAGCCUGAACCAGCCAUGUCGCGUGCAGGAAGAACCUGCCCUAUGGGUUGUAAACUGCUUUUAUAGUAGAAGAAACACAUCUACGUGUAGAUGUCUGCCAGUAUACUAUGAAUAAGCAUCGGCUAACUCCGUGCCAGCCGCCGC